GCAAACUUGGUCAUUUAGAGGAAGUAAAAGUCGUAACAAGGUUUCCGUAGGUGAACCUGCGGAAGGAUCAUUAACAGAGUUAGGGUCUUUUCAGGCCCGACCUCCCAACCCUGUGUCUAAUUUACCCACGUUGUUUCGGCGGGUCGGACAGUCCUCCCUGAGGAGAACCGGCCGCCGGGGAGGGGGAGAACACCUCCUUCCCGGAGAGCACCCGUCAGGAGGCCCUUUUACAACUUCUAUGAUACAAAACCCGUGUCGUCUGAAUGACAUGAUUCUGUGAGAAUCACAAAUAACAUAAAACUUUCAACAACGGAUCUCUUGGUUCUGGCAUCGAUGAAGAACGCAGC
rnacentral:misc_RNA from 1 species